rnacentral:rRNA from 1 species
AUUGAACGCUGGCGGCAUGCUUUACACAUGCAAGUCGAACGGUAACAGGCCGCAAGGUGCUGACGAGUGGCGAACGGGUGGGUAAUGCAUCGGAACGUGCCCAGUCGUGGGGGAUAACUAUCCGAAAGGAUAGCUAAUACCGCAUACGAUCUGCGGAUGAAAGCGGGGGACCUUCGGGCCUCGCGUGAUUGGAGCGGCCGAUGUCAGAGUAGGUAGUUGGUGGGGUAAAGUCUCACCAAGCCAACGAUCUGUAGCUGGUCUGAGAGGACGACCAGCCAACUGGGACUGAGACACGGCCCAGACUCCUACGGGAGGCAGCAGUGGGGAAUUUUGGACAAUGGGCGCAAGCCUGAUCCAGCAAUGCCGCGUGCAGGAAGAAGGCCUUCGGGUUGUAAACUGCUUUUGUACGGAACGAAACGGCUCUGGUUAAUACCUGGGGCUAAUGACGGUACCGUAAGAAUAAGCACCGGCUAACUACGUGCCAGCAGCCGCCGUAA